rnacentral:tRNA from 1 species
GGCCAANUAGCUCAGUCGGUAGAGCAGGGGACUGAAAAUCCCCGUGUCGGUGGUUCGAUUCCGCCUCUGGGCACCA